AUUGAACGCUGGCGGCAGGCUUAACACAUGCAAGUCGAGCGAGCGGCGGACGGGUGAGUAAUGUCUGGGGAACUGCCUGAUGGAGGGGGAUAACUACUGGAAACGGUAGCUAAUACCGCAUACCAUCAGAUGUGCCCAUAUGGGAUUAGCUUGUAGGUGGGGUAAUGGCUCACCUAGGCGACGAUCCCUAGCUGGUCUGAGAGGAUGACCAGCCACACGGGGACUGAGACACGGUCCAGACUCCUACGGGAGGCAGCAGUGGGGAAUAUUGCACAAUGGGCGCAAGCCUGAUGCAGCCAUGCCGUGUGUAUGAAGAAGGCCUUCGGGUUGUAAAGCACUUUCAGCGGGGAGGCGUUACUCGCAGAAGAAGCACCGGCUAACUCCGUGCCAGCAGCCGCGGUAAUUC
rnacentral:rRNA from 1 species